CCUACGGGAGGCAGCAGUGGGGAAUAUUGGACAAUGGGGGAAACCCUGAUCCAGCGACGCCGCGUGUGUGAAGAAGGCCUGCGGGUUGUAAAGCACUUUUAGUGGGGAUGAAAUGUGCAGGGCUAAUACCUCUGCAUUUGACCUA
rnacentral:rRNA from 1 species